rnacentral:rRNA from 1 species
AUAUCAAUAAGCGGAGGAAAAGAAACCAACAGGGAUUGCCCUAGUAACGGCGAGUGAAGCGGCAACAGCUCAAAUUUGAAAUCUGGCCUUCGGGUCCGAGUUGUAAUUUGUAGAGGAUGCUUUUGGUGAGGUGCCUUCCGAGUUCCCUGGAACGGGACGCCAUAGAGGGUGAGAGCCCCGUCUGGUUGGACACCGAUCCUCUGUAAAGCUCCUUCGACGAGUCGAGUAGUUUGGGAAUGCUGCUCUAAAUGGGAGGUAUAUGUCUUCUAAAGCUAAAUAUUGGCCAGAGACCGAUAGCGCACAAGUAGAGUGAUCGAAAGAUGAAAAGCACUUUGAAAAGAGAGUUAAAAAGUACGUGAAAUUGUUGAAAGGGAAGCGCUCAUGACCAGACUUGGGCUUGGUUGAUCAUCCAGGGUUCUCCCUGGUGCACUCUUCCAGUUCAGGCCAGCAUCAGUUCGCUGUGGGGGAUAAAGGCUUUGGGAAUGUGGCUCCCUCGGGAGUGUUAUAGCCCAUUGUGUAAUACCCUGUGGUGGACUGAGGUUCGCGCAUUCGCAAGGAUGCUGGCGUAAUGGUCAUCAGCGA